rnacentral:lncRNA from 1 species
GUCAGCUUCAGCCUGAAGUUUAUACUUUGUAUUGUAGAGUAAGAAAAGUUUUGGAGUAGACGGCUAGAAACUAGAACGGAGCUGGAGAGAGGCUGGAGGAGAAGACAGCAAGCUCAUUCCCAAGGACGGAUAUAGCUAGAAAGAAGUUCUUCUUGGCAGUAAUGGAAUGGCCCAUGAAAUUUUAGGACAGUGAUCAUUUUGAGUUGGUGCCUAUACUGUGCUGAACUUCUCCCUGUUUCCCCAAAACCUCAGUAGAAUCUGGUUUAUUUGAUUCUGCUUGGCUUCACUCUCUGCAAGAUGGCUACUGGCCAUACCAAGCCUUCAAAACCUUGUAAAUCAUGAUGAUGAUGAUGAUGAUGAGAGAGAGGGAGAGAGAUGUGUUUUCUUCCAAUGUCCAUGUAACAUAUUUCAUGAAGGGAUUCUGAUUAACUCACAGGCCUAUCCCUGGACUAAUCACUGGGGACAAAGGAUGUAGAACUUGGCUAGAGCAGCCUUGGGUCUUCUGCCCACCCCUGAGACUUGGGGUGAGGACCACCCAAACCACAAGGACUGAGCUGAAUUUGGGGGGUGAGGAAUGAUUUCCCAUAGUAAGACAGGCUGAGCAAUGAAAAUGUCUGCCACGUCCCAGAAGGCUGUAGGACACGAGGACACCAGGAUUCCAAUGCAAACUGAGGCUUAAUAGGCACUUUCCAAGAAACCAGAAGGAAAGAGUAAAAGGAACUAGGAUUUUUGGAGGGCCUACUAUGUGCUUUCCCAAGGUCCCAGAGCUAGGACAUGGCAGAGCCUAGAUUUAAAUCCACGCCCUUUUAGUUCUGAAGUCCAUGCACUUACCACUGGGAGGACUGAGCAAAGGCUGAGGGGCCAAGGCAGAGAGAAGCUUUGCUAUUGUGAUAGAGAAGACAUCCAGCAGGCACCAUGGCGGAGCACUUGGUCCAGCCUGGGAGUAUGAACCAGGGAAGACUUCCUGGAAAAGGAGAUAUUUGAACUGAGUCUUAAAGAACUGUUGGUGUUUAUCAAAGGAGUAAAAGAGAGAAGCAAGAAAAGAGGUCGUCUAGGUAGGCACAGGGAAGUCAUGAAGCCCAGAGUUUCAGCUUUGGACAGUCACUGUCUCCGUGGGACUGGGGCUUCCUUAUCCUGCCAGCUGCUGCCUCCUCCCAGCUCCGCCACAUGCCAUUGCGCCACGACAAGCCAC